AGCGAACGCUGGCGGCAGGCCUAACACAUGCAAGUCGAACGGAUCCUUCGGGAUUAGUGGCGGACGGGUGAGUAACACGUGGGAACGUGCCCUUUGGUUCGGAACAACUCAGGGAAACUUGAGCUAAUACCGGAUGUGCCCUUCGGGGGAAAGAUUUAUCGCCAUUGGAGCGGCCCGCGUCUGAUUAGCUAGUUGGUGAGGUAACGGCCCACCAAGGCGACGAUCAGUAGCUGGUCUGAGAGGAUGAUCAGCCACACUGGGGCUGAGACACGGCCCAGACUCCUACGGGAGGCAGCAGGGGGGAAUCUUGCGAAAUGGGCGAAAGCCUGACGCAGCCAUGCCGCGUGAAUGAUGAAGGUCUUAGGAUUGUAAAAUUCUUUCAGCGGGGACGAUAAUGACGGUACCCGCAGAAGAAGCUCCGGCUAACUUCGUG
rnacentral:rRNA from 1 species